AAAUAGUGAAGAAAGCUCUGGUGCAGAAGGACGUUAACUGGAGCCACAAUCAGAGCACUGGUCUAGAUGUGUCACGACUACAGAAGAGUACAGCAUUCCCAACUUACUCUCUUGUCUAUUUUAUUCAACCCUGAACUUAUAGAAAAAUUUUCUGGGUGCUGGUGAAGGUGAGCACUAAUCUGAAACCCACUUAAAAAUGUCCAUGUGAUCAGUGUCUUCCUUUCCUGCAUUACCUCUGCUGUUUCCACUUGUCACUGUGUCAUUUUGCUGACCCAGCUCUUAUUUUCGGGAGCUUAUCAGUUACUACCUAAAGAACCCUGAUGGCACCGCUCCAGGGCCACGGCCGUCUUCCCUUCUCGAUAUCUGCUCUGUUGGAUGCUGCGAUGACCGCAGCAUUAGAGUGGGAGUUUCCUUUUGGGAAUUAAUCUAUCAGCAGCUGUCACAUAAAACAUGACAGUAAAUGUUGAGUGACAACAAAUGACUGAGUGUAUUCCUG
rnacentral:lncRNA from 1 species